CCCCCCCAGCUGAUCUACGUAGAUCGUGACUGCUGCAGCCGAGACGGCGUGUCGAAGACAGCUGCCUUGUUUCAGGAGUGAGGACAGCUUGUGGUGAGACUGGACAUCUGGCACCUGAUGCGGCGUCUCACUGAGGCUAAGCGGUCACAGCUGGAGGGGCAGCACGAGAUUCUUGGCCUGACUGAUGCCGAUGUCAUCAGGAGGAUCUCCAGGGAGGAGUGGAGGCUCCACUGUCGUCGGACACAUUGUGACAGUUUGUCUUUAUCCGUUUUAUGUUUUCUUUAUAUGGUCAUGGGAUGCCAGCCCCAUGACAUUAAACGUAAAGAUAAACCCAACAAAAGACAAACACAAUUCAAGGUUCAAAUCAAAUGUUCCUAUAUUUAACACAAAAUUGAGCAAAGCACUCAAAAUCCUACAGAAAAAAAAGAUAUUGUCCAAAAUUCCACAGUAGAGAAAUUGCAUACAACAAAUAAAACAAAGUCAACACUCCUCAUCCAGGAGCUCCUCGACACUGUCAGCGGACCAGCCGGGCGCAACCCCCUGGACAUCCCGUUGCUGGAUGCUCUCCUCAUCUGGGAAAUUUGUAGUACACAGAGGCCCCACCGGGCAUGCAGCUGUACACCCAGACUGGCAGGCUGACAAAGGGCUGCGCGAGGGGCUCCACGUCUCUGGAGUCCUUCCACCUCCACCGAUUCAUCCCAGGGACGCAAGCCAGUGCUACGCACAUCCAGGUGUUCCUGGGCGAUGGACUGUUGAGGUGGAACGAGGAUCAGAAGAACCAACGGGUGCUUGGCCUUCCCAUGGUUAAGGACUUCACCAAGCCUGCUGAGUACACAGGGGAGCUCAUCGGGGUUGAGUACGGGUGCCAGAAGACAGGCAGAGUGCUUUAGGUCGUCAGCUUGGACCCUGACAAUCUGGUCGAGGCUGCUGCCAUCGAGUCCCUUGGGGAGUCUGAGGAGGAGAUGGAGGGUCCCAAUGGUCAACCAGGAUAGUGGCAUGUCCUGAGGCUGGCCCAGGCCCUGCUGGAAGCAUGGAGCCCCAGUGGUUCUCUCGGCGCCAGAAAGAAGAGGAGAAGGCUGUGCUGCUGCUGGCAACUGGCGUCGUGCCUGUGGCAGCACUGGCUGGUGAGCCUCUUCCUCCGGCCCGAGGCUGCCGCUGCUGGGCAGGGGCUGCCACCCGGGAGCAAACCCCACCGGCAGCCAAAAAGGCUUGACACUGGCCACACACGUGUGGGAGGCGUGGCGUACUGCGCAACUGUCGGCAGGAAUGAUCUGACCACAAAUGGACCCAGCAGUUUUUGAGCCCGAUUUUCACCCAUUGGACUCUGAUGGAAAGUCAUGAAAAAAAAUGUUCGCUUUCUGUAUGAGGUGGACCCCACCCUUGCUAGGCACCUCAUGGAGGUUCGCUGGCAGGCUAUGAGCAGGAAUUUGGCCUCCCUGUCUCCAAGUCUGUCUAUCCUCCAGAGCCUCAGCGAAUCAGCCUUCCAGAGCCUCAGCAGACACGUCUCCCAGAGCCUUCGUUGACCGGCGCCUCACAGAUUGUGCCAUUGUCCGGUACCUCAGACUGUGCCGGUUUCCAACACCUCAGUAACUGUGCCGAUUCCCGGCGCCUCAGAGACUUUGGCGGUGCACGUUUUCUCAAAAACUUUGGCGUUACCCGGCGAUCCAGAGACUCCUGUUCCCCGUGUUCUGUCGGCGGCUCGGUCGACUCAUGUUCCUGUUGCCUUGUCACGGGAUCCUGUGGACCCAGGACCAAUUGUAUUCUAGAUUUUGUAUACAAAUUUGGUGUACCUCAGACUAUUUACAGACCAGGGGACAGAGUUCAAAAACCAGGUGAACACUCAUGACAAACAUUGCAUCUUACUGAGCCGUAGUGUAAAUGCUGACCUUUUUUCUGCAAAAUUAAAUUUAAGG